GAUGAACGCUGGCGGCGUGCCUAAUACAUGCAAGUCGAACGCUGGAGAUCUAGCUUGCUAGAUCGAAGGAGUGGCGAACGGGUGAGUAAUACAUAAGCAACCUACCCACGAAGACUGGGAUAAUCUCUGGAAACGGGGACUAAUACCGGAUAGGUAAUCGGAAGGCAUCUUCUGGUUAUUAAAGGUUAAAAACACUGGUGGAUGGGCUUAUGGCGCAUUAGUUAGUUGGUGAGGUAACGGCCCACCAAGACGAUGAUGCGUAGCCGGCCUGAGAGGGUGAACGGCCACAUUGGGACUGAGACACGGCCCAGGCUCCUACGGGAGGCAGCAGUAGGGAAUUUUCGGCAAUGGGGGCAACCCUGACCGAGCAACGCCGCGUGAGUGAAGACGGCCUUCGGGUUGUAAAGCUCUGUUGUAAGGGAAGAACGGUAGAUAGAGAAUAUCUAAGUGACGGUACCUUACCAGAAAGCCACGGCUAACUACGUG
rnacentral:rRNA from 1 species